rnacentral:rRNA from 1 species
GAUGAACGCUGGCGGCGUGCCUAACACAUGCAAGUCGAGCGAACACACGAGGAGCUUGUUCCUCUGAGGUUAGCGGCGGACGGGUGGGUAACACGUGGAUAGCAUACUUCUAUUUCUUGGAGGACUUCGGGAAACAGGAGCUGCUACUAGAUAAUAUAUUGAACCGCUUGAUUCAAUAGUGCAUGACGGUUUUGCUGUCUCUUAUAGAUGGUUCCGCGCCGGAUUAGCUAGUUGGUAAGGUAACGGCUUACCAAGGCAACGAUGCGUAGCCGACCUGAGAGGAUGAUCGGCCACACUGGAACUGAGACACGGUCCAGACUCCUACGGGAGGCAGCAGUAGGGAAUAUUCGGCAAUGGGCGAAAGCCUGAUGGAGCAACGCCGCGUGAGUGAAGAAGGCCUUCGGAUCGUAAAGCUCUGUUAUUAGGAAAGAAAAACUGUGGAAGUAACUCUGGCCGUUUUGACGGUACCUAAAGAAUAAGCCACGGCUAACUACGUG